UACGUAGGGCGCAAGCGUUGUCCGGAAUUAUUGGGCGUAAAGAGCUCGUAGGCGGCUUGUCACGUCGGAUGUGAAAGCCCGGGGCUUAACUCCGGGUCUGCAUUCGAUACGGGCUGGCUAGAGUCUGGUAGGGGGAUCUGGAAUUCCUGGUGUAGCGGUGGAAUGCGCAGAUAUCAGGAGGAACACCGGUGGCGAAGGCGGGAUCCUGGGCCAGUACUGACGCUGAGGAGCGAAAGCGUGGGGAGCAAACAGG
rnacentral:rRNA from 1 species